ACGUUUAAAGAAAAACGGUGAGUUAUACAGUUGAAAGUAGAAGGAUACUAUUUUAACUUAUACAAUAGCUUUGUGCUAUAAAGAUAAAGUUAGUUCCAACAACACUUGCAUCUGAAGUAAGAAGAAGGAAGGAACACUUGUUUUAAAUCUUCAUAAUUUUCUUGAAAGUGCAUCAAUUUUGCCAUAUACAAAAUAAUUCUGAAAAACAGAAGUGAGCUUCGUUCAGUCAACACCUACAGCUGCCCUAAGGAGUAGAAAGAAAUCUCUACUUCGAAUGUUCAUAACUUUACGGUAAACAUGUCUAUUUUAAUUCUGCAAUAUGGAAAAUAAUUCUGAGAAUCGAUUUAGAAAAGCAAAUAUGAUAGACGUAGUGCCAGAAAGAGGUGAACAAGAAAUAGCCCUAUCGGAAAGUUCUUUGAGAGAUGCUACGGAAACUAAAUAUGCACCUGUAUAUAUUCAACCCAUCGAGGAUAAUUACGAACUUACACCCAUUCAAAAAUUUUACAGUGGUCAAAGUAUUUUUAUAACUGGUGGAACAGGAUUCAUAGGAAAGUUAUUGAUCGAGAAACUGUUAAGAGAAUGUCCCGGUAUCACUUGCAUUUAUCUUUUGAUGCGCACAAAAAAAAAAAAAAGUGUACAUCAACGGAUGAAAGAACUAAUCGAAAAUUCUUUAUUUUCCACUUUGAGAGAGAAACAACCAACAUUCCAGAAUCGUAUAGUCCCAAUCAAGGGCGAUUGUACCUUGCCGAAUCUCGAUAUCUCAAUGGUCGAUAGAGCUACAUUAAUACGCGAGGUCUCAAUUAUUUUUCAUGUUGCCGCAACCGUCAAGUUCAACGAGAAAAUAAAAUUGGCGACAGAAAUCAACGUUGGAAGUGUAAAGGACAUAAUAAAUUUGUCCAAAGAAAUGCCAAAACUGAAGAGUGUUGUGCAUGUAUCAACAGCUUAUUCCAAUUGUUUUCAUAUUCCACUUGAAGAGAAAUUUUAUGACCCACCGAUAGAUCCUGAUAAGUUGAUAAAUUUGGUGGACUGUAUAAAUGAAAAAUUGCUCGACGAUAUUACCCCACAAUUACUCGGAAUAUGGCCAAAUACUUAUGUUUAUACGAAAACAGUCGCAGAGAAUUUUAUAAAAAAGCAUGCUGAGUCUAUACCGAUUGGAAUAUUUCGGCCGGGAAUAGUGAUAUCAACUUAUCGAGAACCUAUUCAAGGAUGGAUCGAUAACGUGUACGGACCAACAGGAAUCACAAUAAAUGUUUUUAUGGGAUUAAUGAGAAUUCACCACUGCGAUAGAUUGAUAAAUGUGGACAUGGUUCCUGGAGAUUUGACCGCCAAUGGAAUAAUCGCUUGCGCAUGGGAGAUUGCAAAUAAUCGAAAAUCCAACGAAGAUAUUCCCAUUUACAAUUAUAUAUCAAAGGACAAUGCAUUCACUUUCGGCAGAUUUUUGGAAAAGAUACAUACGUAUGCAGAAUUGGUACCGUCUGAAAAAGCAAUUUGGUGCCCCAUCUUUGAAAUAACAAAAUAUCGGUUGAUCUAUCUUUUCUACGUAUGUUUUGUACAUUUACUACCAGCUCUUAUAAUCGAUACAAUCUCUUUGUGCAGGGGUAAAAACCCAAGGUUACUCAGAAUGUACAUUAAAAUUCACGAAAUGUCAGAUCUACUUAGUUAUUUUUGUAUAAACGAAAAAACAUUUACGAAUGAAAGAUGGAACGAAUUGUUGAGGAAGUUGACGCCCGAAGAUCGUGAAUUAUUCUUUUGUGAUAUGAAGGAUCUCGUUUGGAAUACUUAUUUUGAAACAUAUUUCACAGGUGUAAGAAAAUAUAUUUUAAAGGAUCCUAUUGAGACAGUCCCACAAGCUCGUAUAAAAAGGCGAAGGUUUUAUUUGAUGUAUCAAGGAUUGAAACUUCUUAUCGCCUGUGUCCUACUUAUCAUCACAUGGGCUAUGAUUUCCAGGCUGCUUGUAACGUUUGGAUCUCCGUAAAAGAAGCAAACAUAAGCAAAAGAAUGAAGGAUAAAAAUAAUGAAAGUUGUAUGAACAAGAUUAAUGGAAGAAUAGAGACCAAAUAGAAACAAAAAUUAUUCUAAAAAAUGCGGGUUAAAUAGUAUCAACAAAAAGUAUAUGUGCAUCGACAGAAAUGAAUCGAAAUAUUGUUAGAAUAUGAAAUCAAAUAAUGCGACGUAGUUGCAUUGCCUGCUGAUACGAAUAUGUAAACGGAAAAAUAUAACAAGAAUGAACGAUGUAAUAUUUGGGUUUAUCAAGAAUUCAGAAAAACACGAAUAGAAAUAAGACGUUUUAAGGUUAAUAAACGUAAAUAAGAAAAUGCUAUGGAGAAUUUGAAAAGAUAGUUAAUUAUAGCACUAUACCUUAUACUCAACAAGCACGCUCUCGGCAUCAUUAUCGAGUGUAAUAUAUGGUUCAUCAUUACUAUUUUUAAAUAUGGCUGAUACCAUAGUGUCGACAAAUAAGGAAGCUAUAUUUCGGUGGAACUUAUAAUUUAAUAGUCCAGUCAAAACUACAAACUCGAACGCCUCCAUAAUAAGUUUACACAUUACUGUCGCAAGGUGUCGCCUAAGUUAUUGUUUUGUUUCUUCCACUCUUCUACUUCCCAAAAUCAAAAUUUUUUGACAAAGAUUUACGUUCAACAUAAGUUCUGGCUGUAAAAAAAACCAUUAUUAUCAAUUAAUUAAUAAAGUUGAUGGUGACGUGAAAUAUUAUUAAAAUGAGAAUCAUUAGAUACAGUUUUGAAAUAUAUUAAAAUGAAGAACAGAUCAACACGUCAUAAAUGGAAAGAUACAUUUCAGGUUAUAUUAUAUUAUUAAUAAUCUUGCUGAAAUGAGGAAAACGACGGGGAAGUGGAAAUGUAUUUUCAUGAAACGACACAAAAAUGGAAUCUCCUGAAAUUAACAUAUGAUUAUUGUAGUUCUAAAAUAUAAAUGAGAAAAAUUAUUAUAUUAUCGUAAUCGCUCUAUAAGGAACAAUAUAUCAUCGAACGUUCCUAAAAUAUAUAUAGUUAAAAAUUAAAUGAGACAACAAAUUAUCCAGGAAAACUCGGAAUUAUCUACAAAUGAAAAUAAUCUUAUCUCUAAAAACAAUGAAAAAGAAAACGAAGAUGGAAACGUCUACGAUUAUAGAAUCAUCUACUUUUGGAUAAAUUGACAAAGGAGAUAACUUCUGUGACAAAGAAAUAAAUGCGUAAGGAAGAAAAUACGAAAUUCUAUAGUAAAAGACAACAAAACUGCAACAACAAGAGAUAUAUAAGCUGCAGUUAUAAUUGUGGGAGAAUUGAAAUUAUCAAUAAAGGAAGAAAUCUAAAGUUAUGCAACAAAGAAAGAAAGUAAACAAGAAGAAAAACGCUUAGUAAACAUCUUUAGUUAUAUGUACCUGUACCUCUGCUGACACGCUUUUCCAAAUUACCAUAAAUUCAUGGUACUGAUGUGAUAUUGCCACAUCUUGAUAUAUCUCACUCUUUUCCUAUGUGUUUUCACUGUGCAAUUGCUUCUUGUAAAGGAACGGUGUUUUAUCGCUGAUGAAGAAGAAGAAAGAAAGGGCAGUCAGUUUUAAUUCAAUAAUCAACAAUCUUAAUUAGAGAAUGUCUGAAAUGAUUCUUUCCAAUCGGUUCAUAACCCUGUAAAUCUAUUAAUAUGUACAUAUUUGUGUCAUAUUUCAUCUAUUUUUACUCCUUAGACUAUAUUAAUUGCUAACGAUUGAUCUACACUAUUUCUUACAAAUAUGUAGGAAGAGAAAUAAAUUAUGAGAAUAUUUGGAUUGUCAGAAAAUAAGCGUAAAUAAUUUUUUAUUUCAAACUCACAGGUAAUUUCUUUUAUUUUAUAGUAUUUCAUACUAAUUACAUUCGAAUUGUAUUUUUUCUCUGCAUAUAUAUUUCGAUGUAAGUCAUUUCAAAAGUAUCUCAAUGAUUAUUAAUAUAUUAUUUUAUUUUCUCGUACACGUACUGAUUAAGUUCUUUGAAAAAUUUCUAAUUUUGUGUCUCAAUAUAGAAAAAAUAGCGGUUUUGUGAUUUGUAAAUAGUUAUCUAAAAUUUAAAAUGCGAAAUAUAUAUAUAUAUAAAUUAUAAAGUCAAUCAUAAGUAAUGAAAUAUAUUAAAAUUAUAAAUCAUUCUGUAUUAGAUUAAAAUUUAUAUUUUAUAGUUGUGCGAAUAAAAUGCAAAGUUAGGUAGGAAUUGAGA